rnacentral:misc_RNA from 1 species
AAGUCUCAUAUUUUAGUGGCUUAAAUAGUAACUUGUUUUUUUUUUUCGAUUUUCAGACAUCAUUCUGUUAAAAAUUUCAUGAUUUUUGUGCUAUUUUAUAUUGUAAAUUGUAUACGUAUUAAUUAUUAUGACAAAAUAAUUAUUUUAGGCCUAGUAUGCUGAUUUAUUUUUAGCCGCAAGUUAGUAAGUAUAAAGUAGAUUAUGCCUAGCCAACUUUUUUUUAUUAUGACGUUAGAGAGUUUCCAACUAAUUUUAAUAUAAGUGUAUGUUUUCUGAAAGUUAGAAUUAGUUAAAACAUAAAUCUUGUUAAACGUAUUGAGUCAAUCUAUAUAAUAAAAAUUGACAUUUAUUGUUGACAUUAUUUAUUAAUUAUAUAAUUAAAUUUUGAGAACUGAAAUUUAAACUAAAUAGUAAAGUGUUAGUUAACAGUGUGAUGUUAAGCCAAGGCUUUACAUUAGGAUAAAAGCAAUUUCCUGUGACAUAAAAGAACAAGAUGGCUGAGCAUGGAAAUAACACUGGAUUGAAUGCAAGGAUCACAUCACAUGAAAAUGGUGAUAGUCAAGAAAAUGCUGAUGUAGGUCUUGCUUUAGGGGAUAUAAGUGAAGAACAUGGUGUAGAAGACCCCGAACUAGAAGCCAUCAAGGCAAGAGUCAGGGAAAUGGAAGAAGAGGCAGAGAAGUUAAAGCAGAUGCAAAAUGAAAUGGAAAAACAAAUGAACAUGAGCCCACCAACUGGGUCAUUGGGCUUGUCACUUGAAGAGAAGAUAGAAGUAGAUGCUAGGUCUGUUUAUGUAGGAAAUGUGGACUAUGGUGCCACAGCUGAAGAAUUAGAACAACAUUUUCAUGGAUGUGGAUCUAUUAAUAGAGUCACUAUUUUAUGUGAUAAAUUCUCAGGACAUCCAAAAGGCUUUGCUUAUGUUGAAUUUGCUGACAAGGAUUCAGUACAAACAGCUAUGGCCUUAGAUGACUCUCUUUUCAGAGGAAGACAGAUAAAGGUGAUGGUGAAAAGAACGAACAGACCAGGUAUCAGCACCACUAAUCGAAUUCCAAGAGGAAGAUUCAGGAAACCUUCCGCUCUUUUUAUUAUGGUUAUCGACCAAUGAGGAGAACAUACAGGAAUAGACGAUCCUGGUACUACUCCCCGUACUGAGCUGACUUGUCGAUCUGAAGUACUCCAGUGAAACUUGUGGAAUGACUGAUGUGGACUUCAAGGACAAAUGCUGUGAUCUGCACCAAAACCGGACUGAAAACUUUACAUUAUGGGAAGAGAUAGAAUAGAUUUAAAAGUCUUUUAAAUUUAACAAAGAACAUUUAUUACAUGCAUGAGUCUUUGUGAUUAUACUGUAUGUUUAGACUUAAAAUUGCACUCGGUUUAUACUAAGCAUGUGUUCAUUAUAUUUAACUGAUGAAACUAUGAAAUUAUUCAGUAAUCAAUUUCUGGAAUUAAGUCAGAGUUGAAUUAUUGCAUGGUUAUGACCAUCAGAAGAAACUCGAAAUAAAUAACACCAACAUUGCAAUCAUCA